GAUGAACGCUGGCGGCGUGCCUAAUACAUGCAAGUCGAGCGAACGGACGAGAAGCUUGCUUCUCUGAUGUUAGCGGCGGACGGGUGAGUAACACGUGGAUAACCUACCUAUAAGACUGGGAUAACUUCGGGAAACCGGAGCUAAUACCGGAUAAUAUUUUGAACCGCAUGGUUCAAAAGUGAAAGACGGUCUUGCUGUCACUUAUAGAUGGAUCCGCGCUGCAUUAGCUAGUUGGUAAGGUAACGGCUUACCAAGGCAACGAUGCAUAGCCGACCUGAGAGGGUGAUCGGCCAGCCUGGAACUGAGACACGGUCCAGACUCCUACGGGAGGCAGCAGUAGGGAAUCUUCCGCAAUGGGCGAAAGCCUGACGGAGCAACGCCGCGUGAGUGAUGAAGGUCUUCGGAUCGUAAAACUCUGUUAUUAGGGAAGAACAUAUGUGUAAGUAACUGUGCACAUCUUGACGGUACCUAAUCAGAAAGCCACGGCUAACUACGUG
rnacentral:rRNA from 1 species